UCUCUGUUAGUAUAUCGGUUAGUACACGCGCCUGUCAAUGAAUUGCUCGCGCGAAAGCGGGGUUCGACUCCCCGACAGAGAG